UACCUCGAGAACGAGAGCGAGAGAAAGAGAGAGAGAGAGAGAGAGAGAGAAAGAGAUUCGCCUCGUCUUAGUCAGCUCCUCAUUCUUCCUCUCUUACGUUCCUUGGUAGCGAGCACGGUAGCCAUGUCGACGAAAACGUGUCCGGUGUCCUCGUCGUCGAUGAUGAUCACCGCCAUGACGGAGGAGGAAUCCUUCUC